rnacentral:rRNA from 1 species
GAUGAACGCUGGCGGCGUGCCUAAUACAUGCAAGUCGAGCGAACAGAUGAGGAGCUUGCUCCUCUGACGUUAGCGGCGGACGGGUGAGUAACACGUGGAUAACCUACCUAUAAGACUGGGAUAACUUCGGGAAACCGGAGCUAAUACCGGAUAAUAUAUUGAACCGCAUGGUUCAAUAGUGAAAGACGGUUUUGCUGUCCCUUAUAGAUGGAUCCGCGCCGCAUUAGCUAGUUGGUAAGGUAACGGCUUACCAAGGCAACGAUGCGUAGCCGACCUGAGAGGGUGAUAGGCCACCCUGGAACUGAGACACGGUCCAGACUCCUACGGGAGGCAGCAGUAGGGAAUCUUCCGCAAUGGGCGAAAGCCUGACGGAGCAACGCCGCGUGAGUGAUGAAGGUCUUCGGAUCGUAAAACUCUGUUAUUAGGGAAGAACAAAUGUGUAAGUAACUAUGCACGUCUUGACGGUACCUAAUCAGAAAGCCACGGCUAACUACGUG